ACAAUGCGGGACUUGUAGUCUUGCAAUUGGAUUGAGACAACGUAAAACUCUUAUCGAUAAGCCAUUGGAGGGCAAGUCUGGUGCCAGCAGCCGCGGUAAUUCCAGCUCCAAUAGCGUAUAUUAACGUUGUUGCAGUUAAAAAGCUCGUAGUUGAAGUGAGGGAGUGUGUGUUGUGAUCGAAUCGAUCGAGAGCAGUACAAGCUCCCCCUUCCAAUGGGUGUAUUGGGGUAUUCAUUUACUUCAUUACUCCUUUGGUCGUUUACUGUGAGAAAAUUAGAGUGUUCAAAGCGGGCGUUUGUUUGAAUAGAUUAGCAUGGAAUAAUGAUUGAAGGCUUUCGUGUUCGAUUUGAUUGGUUUGUUCAUGGAAGCAAGGUUAAAAGGAACAGUUGGGGGUAUUCAUAUUCACUAGUUAGAGUGAAAUUCUCGGAUUUAUGGAA
rnacentral:rRNA from 1 species